CCGCGGCCUAUCAGCUUGUUGGUGAGGUAAUGGCUCACCAAGGCGACGACGGGUAGCCGGCCUGAGAGGGCGACCGGCCACACUGGGACUGAGACACGGCCCAGACUCCUACGGGAGGCAGCAGUGGGGAAUAUUGCACAAUGGGCGCAAGCCUGAUGCAGCGACGCCGCGUGAGGGAUGACGGCCUUCGGGUUGUAAACCUCUUUCAGCAGGGAAGAAGCGCAAGUGACGGUACCUGCAGAAGAAGCGCCGGCUAACUACGUGCCAGCAGCCGCGGUAAUACGUAGGGCGCAAGCGUUGUCCGGAAUUAUUGGGCGUAAAGAGCUCGUAGGCGGCUUGUCACGUCGGGUGUGAAAGCCCGGGGCUUAACCCCGGGUCUGCAUUCGAUACGGGCUAGCUAGAGUGUGGUAGGGGAGAUCGGAAUUCCUGGUGUAGCGGUGAAAUGCGCAGAUAUCAGGAGGAACACCGGUGGCGAAGGCGGAUCUCUGGGCCAUUACUGACGCUGAGGAGCGAAAGCGUGGGGAGCGAACAGGAUUAGAUACCCUGGUAGUCCACGCCGUAAACGGUGGGCACUAGGUGUUGGCGACAUUCCACGUCGUCGGUGCCGCAGCUAACGCAUUAAKUGCCCCGCCUGGGGAGUACGGCCGCAAGGCUAAAACUCAAAGGAAUUGACGGGGGCCC
rnacentral:rRNA from 1 species